GCCAUGGUAUUUAGGAAUAUGAUGAAGCAAACUUGACUUUAAUUCAAACUCAUCCGUCUUACCUUGGGCAGCCCUGGGAUAUUGAAUGCACAAGGGUGUGGCAUUAUCCAAACCUGAGGCGGAAAGCUCCUUGAGUGUACGAUUGUCCAUGGCCAUGCCUUGGACUUCUUCAAAUAUCCCUGCCGUGGCUUCUUCCUCCUCUUCUUGUACGUUUUCUUCAAGGUCAGAUUCGGAGUUGGGUGGAUGGUGUUCUUGUUGGUUCCUAGCUCUUCUCAACUUCCUCUCAAAAUCGUCGUCAAACUCCAAGAUGUUUGCACGAAUCGUUUGAGAGCUUCUAGUCAUACAUUAGUACCUAAGAACAAGAAAAACAAAAUUAGGUCAGAACUUAAACAAAAUCAGAAACAAAGUGAAAUAAAAGAAACAAAAAACAAUCCAAGGGAUUAGCAAAAUUUGCUAAUCCCCGGCAACGGCGCCAAAAAUUUGAUGCGAAAUAGAUAAGCACACAAAUUAAACCCUCUUUUUGUCAAAUUGUAGCAAAGAUGUAAGUAGGGAUCGUUCUAAAACCGGGGAUUAGGAGGGAUUGCUAAACACUUGGAAACUGACUUAAAAACAUAAAAACAAAGUUUAAAACACUAAACUAGACUCAAAGAAUGCAAAACUAAAGGUUAAAACACUUAAACAAACCUAAAACUCAAAACAGCAACUAGAAGACUCAAAACUGCCUAAAAACCACUUUCUGGGCAGUUUUG
rnacentral:lncRNA from 1 species